ACCAAACUCAUUCAAACUGCGAAUGCCGUAACUUUAGAUAUCGGGAGUCAGACUACGGGAGAUAAGUUCCGUGGUCGAAAGGGAAACAGCCCAGAUCAACAGCUAAGGUCCCCAAGUAUAUGCUAAGUGAUAAAGGAAGUGGAAUCGCUAAAACAGCCAGGAGGUUGGCUUAGAAGCAGCAACUCCUUUAAAGAGUGCGUAAUAGCUCACUGGUCGAGUGGUUCCGCGCCAAAAAUGAUUGGGACUAAGCAUACCACCGAAGCUUUGGGUUCCAGGAAACUGGAGCGGUAGAGGAGCGUUCUAUACGGGUUGAAGGUUGACCGUGAGGACAACUGGACUGUAUAGAAGUGAGAAUGCCGGCAUGAGUAGCGAGAAAAUGCAGUGAAAAACUGCAUCGCCGUAAGCCUAAGGUUUUCUGGGCAAUGUUAAUCAACUCAGAGUUAGUCGGCCCCUAAGGCGAGGCCGAAAGGCGUAGUCGAUGGGAAGCAGGUUCAUAUUCCUGCACCACCUGGUGGAGGCUAUCGUGAUGGGGUGACGUAGGAAGAUAUGGGCGCAGGGAGUUGGUUUUCCCUGUCCUUAUGCGAAGGCUGGAGGUCCAGGUAAAUCCGGAUCUCCUUAAGGCUGAGGCUGUAGGGGAGUCUCUCUUCGGGGAGGCGAAGGUCCUGACUCUAUACUACCAAGAAAAACCUCUAAACGCGAAACCGGGUGACCGUACCGUAAACCGACACAGGUAGGCGGGGAGAGUAUCCUAAGGCGCUCGUGAGAACCUCCGUUAAGGAACUCGGCAAAUUAGUCCCGUAACUUCGGAAUAAGGGACGCCCCGUUAGUGUGAAGCCCCUGCGGGUGGAGCAUGAGGGGGCCGCAGUGAAAUGGGCCAAGCGACUGUUUACCAAAAACACAGGACUCUGCGAAAUCGUAAGAUGAUGUAUAGGGUCUGACACCUGCCCGGUGCCGGAAGGUUAAAAGGAGGGGUUAGCGUAAUUUAUUAUGCGAAGCUCUGAAUUGAAGCCCCGGUAAACGGCGGCCGUAACUAUGACGGUCCUAAGGUAGCGAAAUUCCUUGUCGGGUAAGUUCCGACCUGCACGAAUGGUGUAACGACUUGGUCACUGUCUCAACGGAGGGCUCGGUGAAAUUGUAAUGUUUGUGAAGAUGCAGACUACCUGCAGAAGGACGGAAAGACCCCGUGGACCUUUACUGCAGCCUGACAUUGUAGUUUGGUACAGUAUGUGUAGGAUAGGUGGGAGACUUUGAAGCCGGGACGCCAGUUCUGGUGGAGUCAACCUUGAAAUACCACCCUUAUUGUAUUGGGCUACUAACUUGUUCCCGUUGAUCCGGGGCAAGGACACUGUCUGGUGGGCAGUUUGACUGGGGCGGUCGCCUCCUAAAAAGUAACGGAGGCGCCCAAAGGUUCCCUCAGUGCGGUUGGAAAUCGCGCGUAGAGUGCAAAGGCAGAAGGGAGCCUGACUGCGACACAAACAAGUGGAGCAGGGACGAAAGUCGGGCUUAGUGAUCCGGUGGUUCCUCGUGGGAGGGCCAU
rnacentral:rRNA from 1 species